rnacentral:tmRNA from 1 species
UUAUUAGAUAAAUGAACCCAAAGGCAGUAUUUGGUAUUUCCACCA